GCUUAACACAUGCAAGUCGAGGGGCAUCGCGGGUGGCAACACCUGGCGGCGACCGGCGAACGGGUGAGUAACGCGUGAGCAACAUGUCCUCAGUCGGGGGAUAAGCGAGGGAAACUUCGUCUAAUACCCCAUAACACUUUCAGGCGCAUGCCUUUAAGUUGAAAGCUUUUUUUGCGACUUUGGUUUGGCUCGCGUGACAUUAGCUAGUCGGUGGGGUAACGGCUCACCGAGGCUACGAUGUCUAGGGGUUCUGAGAGGAAGGCCCCCCACAUUGGGACUGGGACACGGCCCAAACUCCUACGGGAGGCAGCAGUGAGGAAUAUUGGUCAAUGGACGGAAGUCUGAACCAGCCAUGCCGCGUGAAGGAAGACUGCCCUAUGGGUUGUAAACUUCUUUUGCAGCAGAGCAAUAAGGCGUACGUGUACGCCGAUGAGAGUAUGUUGCGAAUAAGCAUCGGCUAACUCCGUGCCAGCAGCCGCGGUAAUACGGAGGAUGCGAGCGUUAUCCGGAUUUAUUGGGUUUAAAGGGUGCGUAGGCUGUUUUGUAAGUCAGCGGUGAAAGACCGGGGCCCAACUCCGGAAGUGCCGUUGAUACUGCAUUGCUAGAGUUCCCCUGCCGUGGGAGGAAUGAGUGGUGUAGCGGUGAAAUGCAUAGAUAUCACUCAGAACACCGAUUGCGAAGGCAUCUCACGAAGAGGCAACUGACGCUGGGGCACGAAAGCGUGGGGAUCAAACAGGAUUAGAUACCCUGGUAGUCCACGCUGUAAACGAUGAUGACUAGCUGCCGGCGAUACACUGUCGGUGGCCCAGCGAAAGCGAUAAGUCAUCCACCUGGGGAGUACGACCGCAAGGUUGAAACUCAAAGGAAUUGACGGGGGCCCGCACAAGCGGAGGAACAUGUGGUUUAAUUCGAUGAUACGCGAGGAACCUUACCCGGGCUCGAACGGCAGACGACUUAUACAGAGACGUAUAUUCCCUUCGGGGCGUCUGUCGAGGUGCUGCAUGGUUGUCGUCAGCUCGUGUCGUGAGAUGUUGGCUUAAGUGCCAUAACGAGCGCAACCCUUGUCGUUAGUUGCCAGCAUUCAGUUGGGGACUCUAACGAGACUGCCAGUGACAAACUGGAGGAAGGUGGGGAUGACGUCAAAUCAUCAUGCCCCUUAUGACUUGGGCUACACACGUGCUACAAUGGUUGGUACAAAGAGAAGCGAAGCGGUGACGUGGUGCAAACCUCAUAAAGCCAAUCUCAGUUCGGAUUGUAGGCUGCAACUCGCCUACAUGAAGUUGGAAUCGCUAGUAAUCGCGAAUCAGAAUGUCGCGGUGAAUACGUUCCCGGGUCUUGUACACAGCGCCCGUCAAG
rnacentral:rRNA from 1 species